rnacentral:tRNA from 1 species
UUGUAAAUAUAUUAAUGGAAAUUGAUUCUUAAAUUUUAUUAUAAUUAUAAUUUAUAUUAAUAAUUAAAUCAAAUAAAAAUUUUAAUAAUUAAAUCAAAUAAAAAUUUUAAUAAUUAAAUCAAAUAAAAAUUACUUUAAAUUUAUUUUUUUUAUAUAUUUCUGUUCAUUACUUUUACUAUUUAAUAUCAUUUAUAAAUUUUAAAUUACAUAAUUAAAAUUAUUGAUCAUGUUUCAAAUAUAUUUUCAAG